AGAGUUUGAUCCUGGCUCAGGAUGAAUUCUAGCGGCAGGCCUAACACAUGCAAGUCGAGGGGCAGCGCGGUGUGGCAACACACUGGCGGCGACCGGCGGAUGGGUGCGUAACGCGUAUGCAACCUGCCUCCGAGAGGGGGAUAACCCGUGGAAACGCGGACUAAUACCCCGUAUGCGCACGACGCCGCAUGACGUUGUGCGGAAAGAUUGAUUGCUCGGAGAUGGGCAUGCGUGGCAUUAGGUAGUUGGCGGGGCAACGGCCCACCAAGCCAUCGAUGCCUAGGGGAGCUGAGAGGCUAAUCCCCCACACUGGUACUGAGACACGGACCAGACUCCUACGGGAGGCAGCAGUGAGGAAUAUUGGUCAAUGGAGGGAACUCUGAACCAGCCAUGCCGCGUGAGGGAAGACGGCCCUAUGGGUUGUAAACCUCUUUUAGCCGGGAGCAAUAAGGGUCCCGCGGGGCCCGACGAGAGUACCGGCGGAAUAAGCAUCGGCUAACUCCGUGCCAGCAGCCGCGGUAAUACGGAGGAUGCAAGCGUUAUCCGGAUUUAUUGGGUUUAAAGGGUGCGCAGGCGGCGCGAUAAGUCAGCGGUGAAAUACCACGGCUCAACCGUGGGGCUGCCGUUGAUACUGUUGCGCUAGAGUCCGAACGGCGCCGGCGGAAUGUGUCAUGUAGCGGUGAAAUGCAUAGAGAUGACACAGAAUACCGAUCGCGAAGGCAGCUGGCGAGGACGCGACUGACGCUGAGGCACGAAAGCGUGGGGAUCAAACAGGAUUAGAUACCCUGGUAGUCCACGCAGUAAACGAUGAUGGCUUGUUGCCGGCGACAGACUGUCGGUGACAAAGCGAAAGCGAUAAGCCAUCCACCUGGGGAGUACGAUCGCAAGGUUGAAACUCAAAGGAAUUGACGGGGGCCCGCACAAGCGGAGGAGCAUGUGGUUUAAUUCGAUGAUACGCGAGGAACCUUACCCAGACUCAAAUGUUCGAGGACGCGUCCGGAGACGGACGUUCCCUUCGGGGCCUCGAGCAAGGUGCUGCAUGGUUGUCGUCAGCUCGUGCCGUGAGGUGUCAGGUUAAGUCCUAUAACGAGCGCAACCCCUACGUCCAGUUGCCAGCGGGUAGAGCCGGGGACUCUGGACGGACUGCCGGCGCAAGCCGAGAGGAAGGCGGGGAUGACGUCAAAUCAGCACGGCCCUUACGUCUGGGGCGACACACGUGCUACAAUGGCCGGUACAGAGGGCAGCCACCUGGCGACAGGGAGCGAAUCUCGAAAGCCGGUCUCAGUUCGGAUCGGAGUCUGCAACCCGACUCCGUGAAGUUGGAUUCGCUAGUAAUCGCGCAUCAGCCAUGGCGCGGUGAAUACGUUCCCGGGCCUUGCACUCACCGCC
rnacentral:rRNA from 1 species